ACCUGCGCAGCAGCACUGAACAGAUAUUGACGUCAUACGAAGAGUGCAGAUGGAUCAAUACGGUCGACAGAAGUUUUAACUAUCUGGAGUGCGGAUAAAUUUUUACUGAGAGUCGUAUAGGAAUCUAUAAUCCAGUACUUUCCAAAAUACGCCGAGAGUAUUCCUGAUGGUGAAACGAGCGUUGCUUCAUCGAACGCAGCUAAAGAAAACAACAUCUAUGUAGUUGGUGGUACGAUGCCUGAAAUAGAGGGCGCUAAAUUGUACAAUACCUGUACUAUUUGGGGUCCCGAUGGAACUUUGAUAGCAAAACACCGAAAGGUACAUCUAUUCGACAUCGACAUUCCUAAUAAGAUUACUUUUCGAGAGAGUGAUUCACUCAGUCCUGGUAACUCCCUAACGACGUUCGAUGUGAAGGGCUGCAAAAUAGGUAUUGGCAUUUGCUAUGAUAUUAGAUUCGAGGAAAUGGCACGCAUUUAUCGGAACAAAGGUUGCCAAAUGCUGAUAUAUCCAGCGGCAUUCAAUAUGACCACUGGACCACUGCACUGGUCAUUACUUCAGCGUUUCAGAGCGAAUGAUAAUCAAUUAUACGUUGCCUGCAUAUCACCGGCUCGUGUUCCUUAAGCAAGUUACGUCGCAUGGGGACAUACACAGUUGACCAAUCCCUGGGGAAAGAUUCUUUACGAUUUGGAAAUUCAAGAGAAUAUGGCAGUCACCGAUAUCAAAAAAAAAAAAAAAAAAAAAAAAAAAAAAAAUUUCAACAAAUAAAUAAAAAAAAAAGUCACCGAUAUCGGUAAUUUACAGCUUAAAAUUAAAAGCGAGAGAUCCAUGAUGUAAUUAAUUUUUAGUCUCGUUAAUUUAUCGAUUUAGCCAUCUUCCUCUGUAUUUGUUGAAUUUAUUAGUAAGCAUUACUUAUUACUUCGUAUGUUUCUUUUUUCUAUCAGAUCUAAAAGUUGUUGAGGAAGUAAGGGCUCAGAUACCUACAUUUUCUCAGAGACGUACAGAUUUGUACGACACUGUCUGUAAGAAGGAGUAACUCUACACUAAAACAGAAAAUGUUUUUUUAUAAUAUUUCUACUACGAUAUCCUUUUUUGUGAAUUAUUACUAAUUUCUUAUCAUCCAUUUCUUGUAAAUAUAUUAUAUCACGAUAUUACAGAUAUAUACGUAGAUAUACACGUUAAUUAAAUCCUCUAUAUGGUAUUUUUAUAUCGGUGUCAUGAACAUUUUUCCCCGAACGACCUUCUAUCACGCGCGUACGUAUAUCGAGAAUAUUAUUGUAUUAUAUAUAGUGAUACAUACGUUGAUAUACACAUUAAUUAAAUCCUCUAUAUAGUAUUUGACUUUGCUAUCUUGAAUAGAUAAAUAAUCUCGAAUAUAGACAUACAGGUACACUUACGUUGAUAUACACCUUUGUACAAGGUGUCAAAAAAUUUUUUAUCACGGCGUUUUUUUAAGACGAUUUUAUAGCUUCGAAAUUGAUCUUGACACGAUUUUCAAUGUCAAAUUAUUUUUCUAUUGCAUCAUGUGAUACUCAUUAGGAGGAACAAAACUUCUGUUUUCUUAGAAAAAAUGUUUGAAAUUUCAUUAAUUCCUAGAUUGAUUUUAUUUAUACUUUAAAGUCAGAUAUGACAUCAAAUAAUGUCAAUACUAAUAUCUAGUUAUUUGUCAAUUUACAGCAUCUGAAAAACAAGAUAUCUUCGAGACAGCGUGGGUUUUCUUUCCAACUUUCUUAACUUUCAACAAUAAAAUUUUCGUCAAACGAUACAAUCUAUCCAACAAAGUUGUUGUACACAGCCAAUCUCGUAAGAACAUAGAUCUUCUUCCAGUAUUAUUCUUCACAAUACUUCGUGUGGAAUUUCUACUUGACGAGUUAUUAUUAAACGAUUAAAAGCUUAUUAUUAUACGAUAAUGUAAUAUCGUAGAAUAGCUUUGAUUGGAGAUCGGCUGAAAUUAGAAAACACCGUGUACGCCGUCUUUUUGUGCUUUGUUUACAUCCAAGAGCGCCUAGUAACAGUGACGCGAGAAAAGAUAAGCAGCGUCAAAACAGAAGUACGGUUUCAUAUUUCAAGGAGUGGCAAUCGAGAGGCCAGAGUAUGUGAGCCGAAAAGUGUGUGUGUGUGUGUGUGUGUGUGUGUGUGACCGAGCAGGAAUGCAUUGGCGAGGUUCAGAGUUGAUCGAGACGUCGAAGCAUAGAGUCGUUAGAAUUGAGUUGCGAGUGUUGUCGAGUGUUAGAGUUGCUAGUGAGAGAGAGAGAGAGAGUUACCAAAUAGUUGUCAAGUUAUUUGAUGUAAAUACGAGCGUUGCAUUUAGUUUUCCUGUUAAUCAAACAUCGUUUCUCUGUCUAACUAAUAUCUGUAUUUUCAAUCCAUUAUUAAUAAAUUAUAAUUAAUCGGACAAAAUUACACCUUUAAUAUAUUCCGAUAUUACAAUAACUUACUUUUUUCUACGUCAAUGGACGUAGACGAAAGACGUUGAGUGAGGAAUUAGAACAAGUGUGGAUCGUUGGAAACCACUAUGCUGCGGUCUACCAUUCGUUUUACCCUAUAUAUACUACGGAACAAAGGAUAAUUUUCACCGGCUUCAUCAAGAGCACAUUUUCUAAGCUUUAUUAUUUAUUAUUACACCCAUUAUAUUAUAUUAUUACGAUAUUAUCUAAUUAAUUGUUGUUUAUUUAUUUUGAUGCUUAUAUUAACUGUUAUUUGAAACAUACUUUCAACAACAUAAUAAAUACAGAGUAAAGGUUAAUGAAAUUUUAAACAGCUUUUUCCAAAAGAACAUGUUAUAUCCGUGUAAGGACUAUAACACUUCUGUUUCCUCGUCAUGAGAACUUUAUGACGCAAUAAAAACUGUUGUCCUUGAAAAUUAUACUCCAGAUCAAUUUUGUAAUCCAUUUUUUCUAACAGAUCACCAUCUCCCACGGCUAUAACAAGUAAGUUUUUAACACUCUAUACACAUAGAAAACACGUAUUGAUUACGAUUCUGCUGAUUAAAACACGGAACGUCAAUAUAUUUAUUCACUAUGCCAACACAGAUAACAUUUACCACUGACGAAUAUAAUAUAUAUUUGAAAGGAUGGAAAUUUUAUUUAACCGACUAUAUGACCAUACUCGGUUAAGUAUCAACAGCGACUAUCUAUCAAAAAGAUUAAAAAUUUUAGCCAUGUGAUUUGGUCCCUUAAAGCGGGGAUUUUAGAAGUAAUAUUUUUAUAAUAAAAGAAUUCAUGAAAAAGUUGUAUUAUCAUAGAACUAAUGAUAAAAUGCCACCAAAACCUUUAAAUUUGUAAUAUUCGAAAGAAACUUGAAAUCUCGUUUAUUUAUUCGGCAACAAAAUCUGAUUUACCUUCAGGGAAUACCUAUACAAUUUUUGCGUAACUCUCUCUUUUAAACAAAACAUCAAAGCGUGUUGUUCCUAGCUUCAAAGGGCUUAACUCAAUUUUUUGAUCAAUUUUUUCUCGUUCCAUACGGUCGUUUCAAAGCUUAUAAUACCAUUUACACCUUUGCCUUGUAUUCCAUCCAUAGUUCCCAUGCAAUUUUAUUAUUAUCGUUCCGAAGAACCUUCGCACUUCUGCUUCGCUCGUGAUAUGUAUUCACAUUUGUUUUGCCAUUUUGUUUCGCCUUUCGGGAACGAUAUGUUUGGAAAUGAUAUGAUAUUGAAAACAAAUAGGCCAUUAAACGAGAAUGGAUGGAUUCAAACGGAAUUAAGUGAUCUCAAUUCCACAGCUUUGGCGGCUGAACGUGUUUUCCUUUCGAACGGUUUGCUCGCGUCAAAUGGUGCAAAUUUCAACAAGUACCCACAUGUUUACUAUUAAAUUCAUUUAUUUCUUUUUUAUUUAUUUAUUUAUUAUCUUUUUGGCUAGGUUACCUUCGACGCAUUUUGCGUAUUUCUUGAGCAAUUUGUAAGGUAUUAUUUCCUAUAUUAUUGAAGAAAGUAAUGAUUUUUAGAUUACCAAUAAAAGGUAGAUUUAAAUUUUAUACAAAUUGGCAUACAUUGGCAAUUGGCAUAAUUUAAGGAAAUUGGCAUACUGAGAUGACAAAUUACUGACAUUCCUUUAGUAUGUUAUGGAAAAUUUGUAAAGGUUUAAAAAUUGUUGGAACACUUUGCAUGGAAUAUAUAUUCUAUAUAGAAUACGAAUUCUUUCUCUUUCCUAAUUAUCGUUUACGUGAUAAAAUAAGGCGUUUCAAUUUGAAUUCAUUAAAUGUUGUCUUAAAUAUUCAAUUUGAAAAUUCUUUGGAGAAAAUCGAAGAAGAUUUAGAACUAUUUUUUAAUCGAUAAACGCUUCAAGAAUUGUGAACCACUGACCUAGGGGAACUUGAUUAAUCGAGGGAUACGAAUAGUUCAAUGAUAUUGCAGAAGCCAUUUACUGCGUUCCCCUAAUAUGAUUACAUCGAUAAAAGAGAGGUCACUACUUCUUCGCCAUAUUUCAUACGUAAAAAUAAAAAUCUUAUAUCAAAGCAAAAAAA